rnacentral:rRNA from 1 species
UACGAAGGGGGCUAGCGUUGCUCGGAAUUACUGGGCGUAAAGGGCGCGUAGGCGGAUGGCUUUGUCGGGCGUGAAAUUCCAGGGCUUAACCUUGGGGCUGCGUUCGAGACGGGCUGUCUUGAGUGGGGAAGAGGGUCGUGGAAUUCCCAGUGUAGAGGUGAAAUUCGUAGAUAUUGGGAAGAACACCGGUGGCGAAGGCGGCGACCUGGGCCUUUUACUGACGCUGAGGCGCGAAAGCGUGGGGAGCAAACAGG